ACUGCCUUAGCUCAGUUUGUAGACCAUCUGAGCACAGAUCCGAAGGCCGUGGGUUCAAAUCCCGCCGGCAGUC
rnacentral:tRNA from 1 species